GGAUAUUCAAAUCCAAAAUUUCGGGCCGAGCCUAAUUUACUGAAGUAAACCAACGCGAACCGGCCUCUUGAACCACAAACGCAAACACUUCGGCGCAGUGAGUGCCGAUUGUGCAAUGGCGGCGGGAAAGGUCGAAGAGGCAGCGAUUCCGUCCGUAAAUCCCCGAAGCCGUUAUAUAAAGAAGAGGGCUUUGAAAAACAAGGCUCUCGCCGUCACGUUUAACGAGAAAGACCUCAGGUAGUAAAAAAACCGCCAUCACAAAAUUUGCUCAGUGAUGAAAUCUAAGCUCUGAAGUUUGCUUCUUUUCGCAUUUUUUGAAUUGGGUUUUUUUGAAUUUUUGGGUUUUGAUGUUUUCUUGUUUUGGGUUCGUGGAGCGAUUUCGUGUCUGUGUUUCACAAGAGGAAGAAGAAGAGGAGAAAGGAAGCUGAGCAGAAGCAAGGGGAGGCGCUGCGGCGGAAGCGUCUCGAGCUGCGCAAACAGACUAGAAAAGGAACUGGUUCUUAGUGGUGGGAUUGCCCAAGCCACCGAUACAGCAGCUGAUGAGGUUGAUGAGGGUGUUGAGGAGCACGAGGAUGAUGAGAUUAGUGAGACCUCUGGUGCUUCUAACCCCUGCUGUCGAUCACCCCAUAAUGUUUACUUUUCAUUGGUUGGUUCUCUGGUUUAGCGAGACACCGAUCAGUUAGCAUCAAGGCACUGUAUUAAUGUUUCUUAAUUGCUAUAUAAUCACAUCACUUCUGACCGAUCACAAAACCCUUCGUAAUCAUGUAUGCAAGAGGCGAGUUAUGUUUUCUUUAUAGUGGGCGACCCUAGCCAACAAUGCUCCCCGUUUUGCUAGGGUGGCGGGGUUCUGGUACGUAGUUGUGAAAACAUAUACGAACUUAUCGGUGAAUCCACCCUUGGAUUUUAUACGAGUAGGUGUGGAUUCAGUUCAUUAUACCUGUAUUGCUUCAGCUCAUGCUUAAUCAGAAUUUGAGUUUAACCUUUGGUAUUGCUUUAAGGUACAACAACAUAUGACAAGGGUGAGAUGAAAGUCACUGUGACAACACAUGAUAUUUUUCGAGAGGAGGAAAGUGAUCGAGACGAAAAGACGGAGGCAGCAGUACCCGAAUCAGUUGGAGCUUCUGAACAGCACAAUGUACCUGUGAGGAAGACGAAACCUCCAAAAAAAGCUGCAAGGCGCAAAUCAAGGCCCAAGCUGCAGCGUAAAAGAGAUAAAAGGAAGGGAAUAAAACCGACGAAGAACAAGCGCUAGCCACCGGUGUUCCUCGCGAGGCUGUGGGAUCAGCUUGUCUUUCCUGUGUAGAAUCAUCAAGUGCAUGAGAUCGGCCGGCUGACCGGAAGUUCCAUUUUGGUACAUUUGGAGUCUUUGGCUGUCAGAAUCAUGCUUGUAGUUGUAUGCUGCAUUUGGAGUCAGUUGUAUUAGAUCUUUUAUUGAAAUGGGAUGUUUUACAUUAUCCUC